UUUGUUAUGCAGGUUUGCUUGUGCGUGGGCUUGACAUUGUUAGCAUGGUCAUGAAUUUAAUUGGGUAUAAAACAACUUGAGAAGAUGGAAGAUUGAAGAUUGAAGUAGGAUAGAUUUUAGGAAUUUCAAGUCAAGAGUCAGAUUUGGGUCAAUGGUCAACAGUUGACCAAAUAUUUAAUUGUUGACCAAAAGUCAACUCUUGAACUUUCCUUGUAAUUUCCAUUUUGAACAUCUUCUCG
rnacentral:lncRNA from 1 species